ensembl:lncRNA
CUCACGGUAGAUUCAAGCACAAAUAUAGAUUGAGAAUAAAAAGAUGGGAAAAGAUACUCUAUGCAAAAUGUAAUCAAAAGAGAGCCGAGGAGAGUAGCUAAUACAAACACCAGGCAAAGUAGACUUUGAGACAAAGAUGUCGAUAUGGAAGUGACGCCAGGAAGACUCAGGUGAACCUCUAGCCCCUCGGUCACAGCUGGACUGCGACUGCAGGACUGCUUCAGCUUUAAUCCCCAUGCUGACUCGGAGCUCAGAGGACAGUGUUUAGCAAAUACCAGGUGACUGGAUGAGUAAAUGUAUAUGAGCAAUAUAAGUCAUUCUCUCAUAGAAAGGGUAGUUGAAGCUAUGAUUUAAAAUGAUACCUACAAAUAGUAAAGACAAGAGAGAGCAAAUAACUGAGUUAUUAAAGGUCUGGGAAAGAUUCACAUUUAUGAGUCAGGAAGAAGACAGCCCUCCAAAGAGAAAAAGAUGCAAGAGCUGGGACUGAGGGAGCCCAGGAGGAUUGUGGAGGGCGAGGAGCCACAGACUUUCCAGAGUCCGGGACACACACACUGUGUUAAUGUAGAGAGUGAGCAGGAACACUGGAGCGGGUUGUCAUGCUCUCCUCCAGGGGAUCUUCCCAGCCCAGGGAUCGAACCUGAGACUCCUACCACUCCUGCAUUGCAGGCCGAUUCUUAGCUGCUGAGCCAUCUGAGAAGCCCGUUAUAUGCAGAAUGCAUCCUGCAAAACGCCAAGUUGCAUGAAUCCCAGGCUGGAAUUAAGAUUUCCCAGAGAAACAUCAACAACCACAAGUGCAAGUGAUACCCCUGUAACGAGCUACAGAGCCUCUUGACGAAGGUGAAAGAGGAGAGUGGAAAAGCUGGCUUGCAACUCAACAUUCGAAAAACUAAGAUCGUGGCAUCCAGUCCCAUCACUUAAUAGCAAACAGAACGGGCAAAAGUGGAAGCAGUGGCAGACUAUUUUCUUGAGCUCCCAAAUCAUCGCAGAUGGUAACUGUAGCAAUGAAAUUAAAAGACACUUGUUCCUUGGAGGGAGAGCUAUGACAAACCUGGACAGCAUAUAUUAAAAAGCAGAGACAUUACUUUACUGACAAAGAUCCCUAUAGUCAAAACAACGGUUUUUCCAGUAGUCAUGUACGGAUGUGAGAUUUGGACCAUAAAUUAGAAGGCUGAAUGCUGGAGAAUUGAUGCUUUCAAAUUGACGUACAGGAGAAGGCUCUUGAGAGUCCCUUGGACACCAAGAAGAUCAAACCAUUCAAUCCUAAAAGAAAUCAACCCUGAUUAUUUAUUGGCAGGACUAUCACUAAAGCUGAAGCUUCAAUACAUUGGCCUGUUGGAAAGAGUGACUUAUUAGAAAAGACCCUAAUGCUGGGCAAGAUUGAAGGCAGGAGAUGGUUGUAUGGCAUCACCUACUCAAUGGACAUGAAUUUGAGCAAACUCUGGAAGGUAGUGG